CACACACACACACACAGAGGCUACGUGAUUACUUGUGGUGAUUUACCUAGGUGCCAGGCCGGUUCAACUACGACUUAAGCGGGAACACAAGGAGACAUGACCUGCAUCAUUUACUGAACAGAUCUGUAUAGAGAGCCAAGGAUGCAGUAUGGAUUCAAAUCUCCAAGUGCAGCUGUUUUGUUCAGUGUUGCAGGUUGACGUGGACGCCAGCGCGAAGCAAGAGGUGUUCAGCACACAUCCAGAAUGUUUUGCAGUUUUCACAGUGUCUUGGUAGGGCAGGUGAAAGCACCCGGGGCUGUCGUCGUCAGGUGACCAGAAGGAGGACGGCCUCUUGUGGUGGAGUUCUCGGCGAACGCAGCGAGGACACGGCUGAGCUUUCUGUCGACACUCUGCGUGGAAC